GCUGCAGCGAGCAGACGCCCCCACACCCCCGCAGACCUGCGCGCUGCAUCUGCACCCACCGCUCCGGGCAGCCUCUUGGAGAAAGAAAAAUACCAGCAACCCAGCCAUAAAGAUCAACAGAUGUCAAGGCAGGGGGCAGGGGGCGAUAGAAAACAGCCGCAAAACCAGGGGACAGUGUGACGCAUCUCUCCACUUGGCACAAAGGGACAUCUUGGCCGGAGGGCAGGAGGCGAGACAAAGGGGAAGCCAAUCUACCUGCCGUGACCUUGACUGUGACAUUGUCAGAAAGUGCUUUGAAAGAGGGAUUGCAGGCCGCAGUUUGUGCAUCCAUUCCUCUCGCAACGAGCUUGUGCAGGGCGGGCACUAAUGCAGCCAGCAAAAGCUACAGACGACACUGCAAGUAAGCGAAGCAGAAGAAGGAGAAUGAUGUAAGCUGCUGAGUUCUUAAAAGAAAAAGGCGGGCUAUAAAUCUAAUAAAUAAAUUAAAAAACAAA